CCUACGGGAGGCAGCAGUGGGGAAUAUUGCACAAUGGAGGAAACUCUGAUGCAGCGACGCCGCGUGAGUGAAGAAGGUCUUCGGAUCGUAAAACUCUGUCCUUGGUGAAGAUAAUGACGGUAGCCAAGGAGGAAGCCCCGGCUAACUACGUGCCAGCAGCCGCGGUAA
rnacentral:rRNA from 1 species